GAUGAACCACUUCGGUGGGGAUUAGUGGCGAACGGGUGAGUAACACGUGGGCAAUCUGCCCUGCACUCUGGGACAAGCCCUGGAAACGGGGUCUAAUACCGGAUACGACCAUCUUGGGCAUCCUUGAUGGUGGAAAGCUCCGGCGGUGCAGGAUGAGCCCGCGGCCUAUCAGCUUGUUGGUGAGGUAAUGGCUCACCAAGGCGACGACGGGUAGCCGGCCUGAGAGGGCGACCGGCCACACUGGGACUGAGACACGGCCCAGACUCCUACGGGAGGCAGCAGUGGGGAAUAUUGCACAAUGGGCGAAAGCCUGAUGCAGCGACGCCGCGUGAGGGAUGACGGCCUUCGGGUUGUAAACCUCUUUCAGCAGGGAAGAAGCGAAAGUGACGGUACCUGCAGAAGAAGCGCCGGCUAACUACGUGCCAGCAGCCGCGGUAAUACGUAGGGCGCAAGCGUUGUCCGGAAUUAUUGGGCGUAAAGAGCUCGUAGGCGGCUUGUCACGUCGGUUGUGAAAGCCCGGGGCUUAACCCCGGGUCUGCAGUCGAUACGGGCAGGCUAGAGUUCGGUAGGGGAGAUCGGAAUUCCUGGUGUAGCGGUGAAAUGCGCAGAUAUCAGGAGGAACACCGGUGGCGAAGGCGGAUCUCUGGGCCGAUACUGACGCUGAGGAGCGAAAGCGUGGGGAGCGAACAGGAUUAGAUACCCUGGUAGUCCACGCCGUAAACGGUGGGCACUAGGUGUGGGCAACAUUCCACGUUGUCCGUGCCGCAGCUAA
rnacentral:rRNA from 1 species